rnacentral:misc_RNA from 1 species
CUUGCUGCGCUGCUUCCGUGACACUCUACGUUCCCGGGCUUCUGUGUGCGGUAGCGCGCCCGGCCGGCGGUGCGCAACGCCUCGUCUCCGUCGACGCUCCACACGCCCCACUCCACUCCCCCUUCGCCACAUCCGCCCCGCGCCGCAUCGACGUCCCACUCGCCCGCCCGUGCGUGAGCAUCUGCACACGUUUGCAGCCGUCUCACGCCACCCACGAGUCCACUUCAUUUUCCGCCUCGCUUUGCCUGCCUCAUCGUCUUCUUUUUGUGUGUGUGUGUGUGUGUGGAGGGUGGGGGAGGGGGCCUUCUCUCUCUCUCUCGGUGCCGCACAAAACCACCUCUUCUCCCGCCCUCGCCACUCCAGCAGGAAGGACGAUACAUCCACUAGCACAAACGAAAUCAUAAUCGUCCAAACAACACUUUCCACCCCCGUGAAGUCCGAUCGGGUUUAUCGCUCCUCUUCUGUUGUUCCGUUGUUUGCCUCUCUGUCACUUCCCUUCUUCCCCUCCCCCUCCCCUACAUCCCCACCCACCCCCGCCCCGACCACCCAUUCAUACACGACAAG